UACGUAGGGGGCAAGCGUUGUCCGGAUUUAUUGGGCGUAAAGAGCGCGUAGGCGGUUUGGCAGGUCUGCUGUGAAAACUCGAGGCUCAACCUCGAGACGCCGGUGGAAACCAUCAGGCUAGAGUCCGGAAGAGGAGAGUGGAAUUCCUGGUGUAGCGGUGAAAUGCGCAGAUAUCAGGAAGAACACCCGUGGCUAAGGCGGCUCUCUGGGACGGUACUGACGCUGAGGCGCGAAAGCGUGGGGAGCGAACAGG
rnacentral:rRNA from 1 species